rnacentral:rRNA from 1 species
UGCCAGCAGCCGCGGUAAUACGUAGGGAGCAAACGUUGUCCGGAUUUAUUGGGCGUAAAGGGCUCGUAGGCGGUUCAACAAGUCGGUCGUGAAAGCCCGGGGCUCAACCCCGGGAUGCCGGUCGAAACUGUUGUGACUUGAGUUCGGUAGAGGUGAGUGGAAUUCUCGGUGUAGCGGUGGAAUGCGCAGAUAUCGAGAGGAACACCAUUAGCGAAGGCGGCUCACUGGGCCGAUACUGACGCUGAGGAGCGAAAGCGUGGGGAGCAAACAGGAUUAGAUA